GCCCUGGCAGUCAGAGGCGAUGAAGGACGUGCUAAUCUGCGAUAAGCGUCGGUAAGGUGAUAUGAACCGUUAUAACCGGCGAUUUCCGAAUGGGGAAACCCAGUGUGAUUCGUCACACUAUCAUUAACUGAAUCCAUAGGUUAAUGAGGCGAACCGGGGGAACUGAAACAUCUAAGUACCCCGAGGAAAAGAAAUCAACCGAGAUUCCCCCAGUAGCGGCGAGCGAACGGGGAGGAGCCCAGAGCCUGAAUCAGUGUGUGUGUUAGUGGAAGCGUCUGGAAAGGCGCGCGAUACAGGGU
rnacentral:rRNA from 1 species